rnacentral:lncRNA from 1 species
GGAAUUGGGGCACCUCUUGAGUGUUACUUUGGAGUGCAAAAUGUCUUCAAUGUCCUUCACUUGAGACACCUAUUGAGUGUAUAAUUCCUCCUCCUUUCUUCUCUUGAACAAGGCUUCAGAAUGCUCUAAAAAGUCUUCAAUUAUUUGCCAAUUCCAAAGCUUGAACCUUGGACAAUAUCUUGUGCUAUUGGCUCUCCUCAUGCUUGUAGGAAUUUGUCCUCAAAAUCAGAUCUUG